GAUGAACGCUGGCGGCGUGCUUAACACAUGCAAGUCGAGCGAACAGACGAGGUUCUUGCUCUUCUGGCGUUAGCGGCGGACGGGUGAGUCACACGUGGCUAACCUACCUAUAAGACUGGGAUAACUUCGAGAAACCGGAGCUAAUACCGGAUAACCUGUUGAACCGCAUGGUUCAACAGUGAAAGGCGGUCUUGCUGUCACUUAUAGAUGGAUCCGCGCCGCAUUAGCUAGUUGGUAGAUAACGGCUUACCAAGGCAACGAUGCGUAGCCGACCUGAGAGGGGGAUCGGCCACACUGGAACUGAGACGCGGUCCAGACUCCUACGGGAGGCAGAAGUAGGGAAUCGUCCGCGAUGGGCGAAAGCCUGACGGAGCAACGCCGCGUGAGUGAAGAAAGUCUGCGGAUCGUAAGACUGUGUUAGUAGUGAAGAACGAAUGUGUAAGUAACUAUGCACGUCUUGACGGUACCUAAUCAAAAAGCCACGGCUAACUACGUG
rnacentral:rRNA from 1 species